UCCGCUUCCCCCCUGGCCUGACGCUCCUGCGGUCUGAGCGGAACUAAGGAUCGCGACAGGGUCCACACGGUGCCUGGGCGCCGCCCGCACGCAGGCGGCCGUUCUCCCACCGGCGUUUCACAGAUGAGCAACGGGCACAGUUCUGGGCUGUGUUACGUGGUUGACAAGAUGGUGACGGGUUAAAAGAAUGUGGGGAAAACACGCAGACCACAGGGGCAGGGGAUUCCGUAAAUAGGCCUGGCCGGAAAACAAUUGGCUGUGGAGGAGACACCACCUGAUACUGCGUGUGCGUGUGCGCGUGCGUGCGUGUGUGAUCAAGGAAGAGUCUUGAAUUUUUAUUCUAGUUAGUUGCACACGGCACGUCAUACAUAUAUGGUGUAUAACUUGUAUUUUAUAAAGGAAAAGACCAGGGUGUGUCUACAUGCUGGCAGGGGGCGCUUGGGGGACUGGGUGGAUGAGGGCGCGAUCUCAAGCUGGGCACGGUGGCACACGCCUGUGACACCAGCGAGGCCACCCUCAGCAACUUGGCAAGACCAUGUCUCAAAAUAAAAAGAGCCGGGUUGUGCUCAGCAGUAGAACUCCCGGGGCCAAUCCUCGGGGACACACAUGCACAUCUCAGGAAGCCCCCAAUGGAGAAAGCGUGGAAAUCAGCUUUAGGUAAGAGCGGGUGCAGAUGCAGGGCAUGACAGAUCUAUAUGAAGACAUGAAAGGUGUAGACUCAAUACUGAUCGGUACAAAAGCAAGAGGCGGAGCGUGGUGUGCUGGAGGGUGUGAGAGCUGAAUUGCAGCUGCUGUGGUCACACCCUGUGUACACGGAGGGUGAAAGGCCUGGCAGCAUCCAGGAGCCCAAGGCAGAAGAGAGGGUCCUGGCCACAGCCGCCCAUUGCCUAGGAUGGACUCACCUGAAUCUGGACCUCAGCUCUUGUCUACAUUAGCCACGCCAAUGCAUCAACCCAGAAUGUACAUCUGAAGGAUGUCAAUUGGAAAUUGGGAAGUGAAGCGACAGCUUGGAUUAGAAGUCUGAAGCGUGAAGUGCAGAGGGAGGAAGAGCAGCUGCCAGUUUCCCUGCCGCUCAACCGCCCGUCCACCUUGCCGCGCUCCUCCAGUCUCAUACACGUCCCUCUGGUUAACACUACGCCCUCUUUGAGGGCAGAAUCUUUCCUUCUACAGAAUGUGGUUGUGAGUUUCUCUUCACCCUUCAAAAAUGAGUUGAAGAAAAAGAAGAAUUAAAAACAUUUUUUUAUUUUAUUGUGAUGAGAUCAUUUAACAUGAGAUCUACCCUCUUCAUAAAAUUUAAGUGUUGUGUUCAGUAUUGUUAACAUUGGGACAAUGUCGUACAGCAAGUCUCAGCAAGAACUUAUUAUCUGACAUGAUUGAGACUCUGUGCCUAUAAAUUGUCAACUCCCUGUCUCACCCACACCUGAACCACCCAUUCCACCCUCUGAAUCCUCGGAUGUGUCUGUUUUAUUUACCUCGUGUGAGUGGAAUCAUGCAGCACUUGACCUUCUGUGACUGGCUCUUUCACUCACCCUAAGUCUUCCAGUUUCAUUCACGUCAAACACGGCAGAUUCCUUUCUUCUUUUCUCCUUUUGGUACUGGGGAUUGAACCUAGGGUGUUGUGCUUGGCUCUACCACUGAGCUAUACUCCCAGCUCAUUUAAAAAAAUUUUUCUUUUGAGACAGGGACUGACCAAGUUUCCGAGACAUUCUAUCCUCUUGCCUCUGCCUCCCAAAUCACUGGGAUUACAGGUGUGGGCCGCUUCACCCAGCUAGAUCUCCCUCUUUUUAAAGCCUGAAUGAUAUUCAUUUUAUGAAUAUAUCACACUUUCUUUACCCAUUCAUCUACUGAUGGAUAUUUAGGUUGUUUCCACAUCUUGGCUGUUGUGAAUAAUGCUACAAUAUUCUAAUAUCUUUUUGAGAUCCUGAUUUCAGUUUUUGAAGUGGGACGGUUGGAUUAUUUUGUAAAUUUGUUUUUAAUUUUUUGAAGAACCUCACACUGUUUUCCAUAGCAGCUGUACUAUUCCACAUUUGCACAAACAGUGUGCAAGACUCUGAUUUAUCUUCAUCCUUGCCAAUGCCAGCACUCCCAAUUUGGCUUUUCUUAAUAGUCACCCUAACAGGUGUGAGGUGACAACUCCUGUGGCUUUGAUUUUCACUUCCCUGAUGAUCAGUGAUGCGAGUAUCUUUCCAUAUACUUGUUAGUCAUCUAUAUAUCUUCUUUGGAGAAAUGUUUAUUCAAGUAUUUAGCCCAUUUAAAAAAAAAGCGUUGGGGCUGGCGAUGUGGCUCAAGUGGUAGUGCGCUUGCCUAGCAUGCAUGAGGCACUGGGUUCGAUUCUCAGCACCACAUAAAAAAAUAAAAUAAAGAUAUUGUGUCUACCUAAAACUAAAA